AGAGAGAGACAUGCGCGCAUAUCAAUAAGCGGAGGAAAAGAAACUAACAAGGAUUCCCUUAGUAACGGCGAGUGAAGCGGGAAGAGCUCAAAUUUGAAAUCUUCAAGGUUUUACCUUGACGAAUUGUAGUUUAAAGAAGUGUUUUCCUGCUGAAGUUUUGGUAAAAGUUCUUUGGAAUAGGACAUCAUAGAGGGUGAGAAUCCCGUAUUUGACCAUUAUUUUCAGCUUUGUGAUACACUUUCAAAGAGUCGGAUUGUUUGGGAAUGCAGUCCAAAAUGGGUGGUAAAUUUCAUCUAAAGCUAAAUAUUGGCGAGAGACCGAUAGCGAACAAGUACCGUGAGGGAAAGAUGAAAAGAACUUUGAAAAGAGAGUUAAACAGUACGUGAAAUUGUCAAAAGGGAAGCGUUUGACACCAGUGUUGUUUUCUCGAAAAUCAAUUAAAAAUGGCUCGAUUUUGUAUUGCUUGAGACCUUAAAAGCUCACUGUACAUUUUUCGUGUCUUUUUUAAUGCACUUUUCGUUUAACAAGUCAACAUCAGUUUCUUUUGUCGUAAAAGGGUCAUUGGAAGGUGGCUUUCUUUUCGGAGAAAGUGUUUAUAGCCUUUGGCCUCUGCAAUCGAAGAGACUGAGGUCUAGCAGCGUAGACUCUUCGGGGUUAGAUACAUUUGUGCUAAGUUAUAGCUUUUUAUAGACAACUUGUUGACUAUAAUUAGUCUUGUAGCUUACUCGCUUAUGCUAUUUUACCUACGCUUAGGAUGUUGAGUCGUAGAGCACGCAG
rnacentral:rRNA from 1 species